AUGAGGAUAUUCUUUCCAGAUCUAUAUAAGCAGGAGACUGAUGUUGUCCCUGAUGGACUACUGGACCUUGUCCAAAAAUGCAUGACAGAGGACAUGAAAAGUGCACUAUCAAAACCGUUCUCAACCAAGGAAAUUUCCGACGCCUUGUUUCAGAUAGGACCUCUCAAGGCUCCCGCUUCCGACGGUUUCCCAGCAUGCUUUUUCCAGCAGAACUGGGAUGUGGUAAAAGAGGAUGUGAUAAGAGGAGUUCUAAAUUUCUUUGAGAAUGAUCUGGCAAAAGCCUAUGAUAGGGUUGAUUGGGGAUUCAUCGAGGGGACAAUAGAAAAAUGUGGCUUCAGCCAGAAGUGGAUUAACUGGGUUAUGCACGUAAGGUUUAAUGGUGAACUUCUGGCACCUUUCAUCCCGUCCCGGGGGCUGCGACAAGGAGACCCUCUUAGUCCCUAUCUAUUUCUCUUUAUAGCGAACGACCUGGUUAGGAUCAUCGACAAGGAGAUUGAAGGACAUCUGACACCGAUUAAAAUUGCAAGGAAUAGCUCGGGCAUAUCCAACCUUCUAUUCACUUAUGACAGUCUGAUAUUCGUCAAAGCCAUGGUGGAACAAGCGGUUACCAUGGGGAAAGUGUUGUCCAUGUUCCAGAAGUGUACUGGGCAAUUGUGGAGUGAGAGAAAGUGCUCACUCCUGUUUAGUGAACACUCCCCGGUGAAUACUAGAGAUGAAAUCAAAAGUGUGCUGGGGGUAGUGGUUGAGGCUUUUGAGAGCAAGUACCUCGGACUCCCCACACCAGACGACAGGAUGAAGGAUGAAAACUUCCAGCCUAUCAUGGACAAGUUCAGAAAAAGAUGCAGUGACGUCUCUGAGAACUUCAUAUCCUGUAGACAAGAAGAUGAAUUUCAUGCAGUCAUUGAGUGCACGAGCACAACGCUUAGGGAUGCCCUGAGGAAGGAAUGGGACCUGCCAUCGGAAGCUUGUCUCCGGCGUACUGGACCAGAUUGGCUGCAACUACUGCUGAGUGAUGUACCUGAGGCCACACGAUCGAGGGUGCUACUGCUUCUAUGGAGGUGCUGUGGGCGCAGCUGGGCUGGUGCUGUUGCUAGGGACUACAAAUGGCAUGUUUUCCUAUCGGUAGGCAAGUAUCUUGCGACCUCAAGCUGUGUUGAGGAGGCCGAGUUGCCUGCAGCCUUAAUGGGAUUGCAUACACUGGCAACAAAGUAUUGUGGGCCAGUGGAGCUGGAAAUGGAUUGCAAAGCCGUGAUCGACAUGUUAAACGCCCCAGGAGAGCCUCUCUCCCCGCACUUUGGGAUAAUCCAUGACAUCAAAGAGGCACUGUCGAGCUUCGCAUCUCACAAAAUUACCUUUGUUGGGAGGAACCGCAACAAGCUUGCACAUGAAUUGGCAGCGACGGCUAGACUGAAUGGAGAGGUACUUAUGAUUGCGAGAGUACCUGAUAACCUUCAGACCCUGAUGCUCUCGGAAUGUACUCCUCCCCUUGAGUAA
rnacentral:rRNA from 1 species